UGAGUAACACGUAUCCAACCUUCCCCAGUAGUAGGGGAUAGCCCGGCGAAAGUCGGAUUAAUACCCUAUGUUCUUCAAUGCGGACAUCUAAUUUGAAGCAAAGGUUCACCGCUAUGGGAUGGGGAUGCGUCUGAUUAGCUUGUCGGCGGGUAACGGCCCACCGAGGCAACGAUCAGUAGGGGUUCUGAGAGGAAGGUCCCCCACAUUGGUACUGAGACACGGACCAAACUCCUACGGGAGGCAGCAGUGAGGAAUAUUGGUCAAUGGGCGUAAGCCUGGAACCAGCCAAGUAGCGUGCAGGAAUGACUGCCCUAUGGGUUGUAAACUGCUUUUAUGCGGGAAUAAAGUGGCGUACGUGUACGCUUUUGUAUGUACCGCAUGAAUAAGGACCGGCUAAUUCCGUGCCAGCCGCUGC
rnacentral:rRNA from 1 species